rnacentral:rRNA from 1 species
GAAAGUAAUGAAGGGCGUACGGUGGAUGCCUAGGCUCUUACAGGCGAUGAAGGACGUGAUAAGCUGCGAAAAGCCGCGGUGAGGCGCAAAUGGCCCUUGACCCGCGGAUCUCCGAAUGGGACAACCCAAUAUCUUGAAGAGAUAUUAUCCCGCCGGUGCGGGAGGCGAACGCGGGGAACUGAAACAUCUUAGUACCCGCAGGAAAAGAAAAUAAAGAAUGAUUCCCCCAGUAGUGGCGAGCGACCGGGGAAGAGCCCAAACCGACGUUGUCUCGGCAUCGUCGGGGUUGUAGGACCGCGCCAUCGCAAGAAAGGCCGUGAGUGGAAGCGACUGGAAAGCCGCGCCAUAGAGGGUGACAGCCCCUUACACGAAGCAGCCUGAAGCGUAGCGGACUCCUGAGUAGCGCGGGACACGAGUAAUCCUGUGUGAAUCCGCCGGGCCCAUCCGGCAAGGCUAAAUACUCGUAAGAGACCGAUAGUGAACCAGUACCGUGAGGGAAAGGUGAAAAGUACCCCUUGCAGGGGAGUGAAAGAGUUCCUGAAACCGUACGCCUACAAGCGGUCGGAGCAUCUUGAAUGAUGUGACGGCGUGCCUUUUGCAUAAUGAACCUACGAGUUGCCGUCACCAGCGAGGUUAAGUGCGACGACGCACCGAGCCGCAGCGGAAGCGAGUCUUAAAAGGGCGCGAUAGUUGGUGGAGGCAGACGCGAAACCGAGUGAUCUACACUUGUCCAGGAUGAAGUCCCGGUAACACGGGAUGGAGGUCCGCACCAAUAAGCGUUGAAAAGCUUCUGGAUGAGGUGAGUGUAGGAGUGAAAGGCCAAUCAAACUCGGAGAUAGCUCGUACUCCCCGAAAGGCAUUUAGGUGCCGCCUGUGGCGUUCCCGACGUGAGGUAGAGCGACUGAUAGGAUGCGAGGGCUUCACCGCCUAUCAAGUCCUGACAAACUCCGAAUGCACGUCGGCCAAGCCAUGGAGUAAGGGCAUGGGUGCUAAGGUCCGUGCCCGAGAGGAGAAGAAUCCAGACCACCGGCUAAGGUCCCGAAAUACUGGUUAAGUUAGACUAACGCAGUCCGGCCCCCAAGACAGCUAGGAUGUUGGCUUGGAAGCAGCCAUUCAUUCAAAGAGUGCGUAACAGCUCACUAGUCGAGGAGCUGGGCGUGGAUAAUAAUCGGGUAUAAAACCAGUUACCGAAGCCGUGGGAUGCUCAAGCAUCGGUAGGGGAGCAUUGCAUGCGGCUUGGAAGGCGGGGCGCGAGCCCCUCUGGAGCGCAUGGAAACGCAAAUGUAGGUAUAAGUAACGACAAGGGGGGUGGGAUGCCCCCCCGCCGAAAGACCAAGGUUUCCUGAACAACGCUAAUCGGUUCAGGGUCAGUCGGGUCCUAAGCAUAAGCCGUAUGGCGAGGGCGAUGGAUGAAACGGUUAAUAUUCCGUUACUGUCUUGGUGUGUGACGCGGCGACGGAGUAGUGACACGGCCGCCUCCUGACGGAAAAGGGGGUUGAAGCGCAAAGGUGUCGAGGAAGGCAGGCAAAUCCACCUUCCGAGCCGAAGCGCGAAAGUACGCCGGGCCCUUUGGGGCAAGGCGAUAGUGCCGGUAAUCAGACUUCCAAGAAAACCCGCUAAACUUCAGCACCAAGUCACCCGUACUCCAAACGGACACACGUGGUCGGGUAGAAUAUACUAAGGCGCUUGGGAGAUUCACGGUUAAGGAACUAGGCAAAUUGACCCCGUACCUUCGGAAUAAGGGGUCCUCGCUUUUGCGAGGCGCAGAGAAUAGGUCCAGGCAACUGUUUAACAAAAACACAGGGCUGUGCCAAUUUGAAAGAAGAAGUAUACAGCCUGACACCUGCCCGGUGCCGGAAGGUUAAGAGGAGAGCUCAUCAGCGAUGAGAAGGCUUGAAUUGAAGCCCCGGUAAACGGCGGCCGUAACUAUAACGGUCCUAAGGUAGCGAAAUUCCUUGUCGG